CCUACGGGAGGCAGCAGUGAGGAAUAUUGGUCAAUGGACGAGAGUCUGAACCAGCCAAGUAGCGUGAAGGAUGACUGCCCUAUGGGUUGUAAACUUCUUUUAUAAAGGAAUAAAACGAGGCACGUGUGCCUGUUUGCAUGUACUUUAUGAAUAAGGAUCGGCUAACUCCGUGCCAGCAGCCGCGGUAAUACGGAGGAUCCGAGCGUUAUCCGGAUUUAUUGGGUUUAAAGGUAGCGUAGAUGGGUUGUUAAGUCAGUUGUGAAAGUUUGCGGCUCAACCGUAAAAUUGCAAUUGAUACUGGCAGUCUUGAGUACAGUUGAGGUAGGCGGAAUUCGUGGUGUAGCGGUGAAAUGCUUAGAUAUCACGAAGAACCCCGAUUGCGAAGGCAGCUUACUAAACUGUGACUGACAUUGAUGCUCGAAAGUGUGGGUAUCAAACAGGAUUAGAUACCCUAGUAGUC
rnacentral:rRNA from 1 species